CUCGUACUCAGCUCCUAGUCUUCAAUCUCUCUCAACUCCGACCCCUUUGUCAAGUAUAGGUUCAGAUUUUCCCGAAGCUCCAUUGCCAUACGGCUCACGGCGAUCCCUACUGGCAUGAAAGCCAAACGAGAGAAGGAUGCAAAAUUUCUGCUUGGCUUGAUUACUCUAACCCCUGAAGCUCCACCAAGAUCUCUAUAGGCAUCACUUUUACCACCACGCUUUGCAAAGUGUGCUCCGCCGUUCAUGGAUCCAAGCUCGAGUAUGUGAAGACUGACCAUCGUUAGACUUCAUAAUCCAUUACUCCCCCACUGCAACAACACUUCGACUUCUUCGAUGAAAUUCUACUCUCAACCAUUGUUGCUAUCCAACACAGUAGCUCUAAUCCGUGAGAUUCAACCACUGAUGUGCAUCCUCUAGUGGUUUCUCAUUCUUUACUGACUGUCGUUACCAUAAGAGAUGACCCUUCCUUCGAGGAUGAUUAGACGAACUAGUUUCACAAGAGUUCUGCAGUUUUCCGUUAUUUCAUCCUGUCUACAAUGAUGACUUUUCUUUUGCUUGUUCAAUGAUCCCGUUGUGCUUCUCAUAUACCAGAGAUACUAGUCUCCCUUCACCAUUACUAGUUUAAGACGUUCUCUCAUCAACCUUCCCUUUACUUGUUUGGCGACCCGUUGCAAUUCUUUUCUAGCCUGAGAUACUCGUCUCCGUUCACCAUUCUUGAUGUUUAAGAUGUUCUCUCAGCUGCUCCACCUUGAACGGAAACAUCCACCUCGUCUUAUCCGUCACAAGUAACCUUUCUAACUCCUUUUCAUUAUCGAUAAGAAAUAACAGUAGUUCCUUACUCAUUAUUUCUUCUUGUGCGCGGUGUCUCGAUAAUGAAAUUACCUGUGAUGCUUUCCUCCAAUUAAUGGAUAUUAGGAAGUUCACAGUAGUGCUGCAACUUCUCGUCAGGAACUAUGAGAUUUGAUGGAAUGGUAGUAAAGAUGAGAAUCCAAAAAAAUGAUCAAUCUGUACGGGAGAAACAAAAGAAAUCUACAAAGUCUUUGUUUUCAUCCAAUUGACAUUAGAUGAAGAUAUACUCUCAAGAAUCUCUGCAUUGAACACAGCUCAUGAAGCAUGGGAGAUUCUGAAGCAGUAGUAUAUGGAAGCACAAAAGGUGAUCAUGUGGUGAAGUUACAAACCCAACGCCAAAGUUCGAAACUCUAUCUAUGAAGGAGAAAGAAAUUAUUAUGGAGUACUUGGUUAGAUUUUCUACCAUUGUGAAUAAGAUGAAAGCUUAUGGUAAAUAGAAAGAUUUUCAAGUGAACGGAGAAUCGUCAGAGAAGGUAAGGUUUGAGUAUUGUGGAGGUCGUGGUUAUUGCAGACGUAGAGGUGGAUUUCAUGGUCGAGGCCGUGAUUAUGGUAGAGAAAGAGGUCAUUUAAGUGAUUAGAAUCAUAACCAAUUUUCUGAUAUCACUCAAAUUAUCCUAAGGAGUGACUUUUACUCUCUCAAAUAUGAGGUCGAGUUGUAGUACUUAGAGAUCGAAUCCACAGAGAGCUAGGGCACACAAUAGAUCUAAGCAGUUUAUGAUUAAGCUAGGUAAAUAGAUCUAAUUGUAAAUUGCAGUGGUGAACAAGGUAGUUGUUCGGUUGGUUGGAUUGAGGUUUGUAGACAAUUAUGAGAAAGCGCUAGAUCUAGGGUUUCUAUUCAGGUAAUCAUGAUUAUAAUAGUAUAAAGACUAUGGUUACAUGCAUGAUAUUA